UAGAUAUAUAUAUAUAUAUAUAUAUAUAUAUAUAUAUAUAUACUCUAUAAUAUAUAUCUAUCUUUCUAUCAAAUUUAUCAACUCGCAAUGUCUGAUAAAAAAAUUUCGAAAUACCGAAAUGCUUUUGAGAGUAGCACUGAAUGGGGGCUACGAAGAAAGUUCCUUAAAGUACAUCAAGAUAAGUUUGACGAAGACCGCCUGGUUUGCCUGUCCAUGUGUUACGUCAAUGUAGAGGUGUAUGGAUGCACCUAUCCUGCGCCAGUGAUGAAAUGCAUUCAACGACUUAAAGCUGAGUUAAAGUGAACUUUUACAUCUUUACCAUUCUUCCGUCUGGCCUGUAUUUUCUUGAGAUACCUGCUACAUACAUAUGCGUAAAAUGUAAAUAACUUUACUAUUUUUUUAAUUACAUAUCAAUCAUCAUCUGUACCAUUAGACAUUCUUCAUCAGUCUAAAUAAGGACACACGAUGUAGUUUAUGCACCCUUAAACAGAUGUAAUGGUCACGGCCGGAAUGCCUUUGAUCGUAGCUGUACCCGAUCUGACUUGACCUUCGACUAAACAAUAACAAUCGCUGUCUAAAUAAAUUACAUUAAUCUCCUGAAUUUAUUAUCUUGA